rnacentral:rRNA from 2 species
UGCAGAAUCCCGCGAACCAUCGAGUCUUUGAACGCAAGUUGCGCCCGAGGCCACUCGGCCGAGGGCACGCCUGCCUGGGCGUCACGCAAAACACGCUCCCGCCUCCUUAUCUGGGAGUGGGACGCGGCAUGUGGUCCCCCGUCACGUAAGUGGCGGUGGGCCGAAGAUUUGGCUGCCGGUGUAUCGUACCGGACACAGCGCGUGGUGGGCGACCUCGCUUUACUUACCGCAGUGUAUCCGGUGCGUAGCCGAUAUCAUGGCUGGUUAAGGACCCUUUGAACGGAGUGCAUGAUGCUUCGACCGCGACCCCAGGUCAGGCGGGACUACCCGCUGAGUUUAAGCAUAUAAAUAAGCGGAGGAGAAGAAACUUACAAGGAUUCCCCUAGUAACGGCGAGCGAACCGGGAUCAGCCCAGCUUGAGAAUCGGGCGGCCGUGCUGUCCGA